rnacentral:rRNA from 1 species
CGCCGCGCGCGGCGGGCGGGGCGGUGGCACGGGGGGAGGAAUUGGCGGGGGAGCACCACAACGGGUGGAGCUUGCGGUUUAAUUGGAUUCAACGCCGGAAAUCUUACCGGGACCGACAGCAAUAUGAAGGCCAGGCUGAAGACUUUGCCGGAUUAGCUGAGAGGUGGUGCAUGGCCGUCGUCAGUUCGUACUGUGAAGCAUCCUGUUAAGUCAGGCAACGAGCGAGACCCACGCCCACAGUUGCCAGCGUACUCUCUGGAGUGACGGGUACACUGUGGGGACCGCCGCUGCUAAAGCGGAGGAAGGAAUGGGCAACGGUAGGUCAGUAUGCCCCGAAUAUCCCGGGCUACACGCGAGCUACAAUGGUUGGUACAAUGGGUAUCUACCCCGAAAGGGGACGGGAAUCUCCUAAAACCAAUCUUAGUUCGGAUUGAGGGCUGCAACUCGCCCUCAUGAAGCUGGAAUCCGUAGUAAUCGCGUUUCAACAGAACGCGGUGAAUACGUCCCUGCUCCUUGCACACACCGCCCGUAGAUCGGAAGAGCGUCGUGUAGGGAAAGAGUGUAGAUCU